UUUGGAAACUAGUAACCCUGCUGAACCCACUGAGCUGUUCUUGUUUACGUAGCUAAGCAGGGUCAGGCCUAGUUAGUCCUCCGAUUUGAGACCACCAGGGAAUACUAGGAAUUUCUAGGU
rnacentral:rRNA from 1 species